rnacentral:rRNA from 1 species
UACGUAGGGUGCAGGCGUUAAUCGGAAUUACUGGGCGUAAAGCGUGCGCAGGCGGUGGUGCAAGACAGAUGUGAAAUCCCCGGGCUCAACCUGGGAACUGCAUUUGUGACUGCACGGCUGGAGUGCGGCAGAGGGGGAUGGAAUUCCGCGUGUAGCAGUGAAAUGCGUAGAUAUGCGGAGGAACACCGAUGGCGAAGGCAAUCCCCUGGGCCUGCACUGACGCUCAUGCACGAAAGCGUGGGGAGCAAACAGG